rnacentral:lncRNA from 1 species
GCCAAACAAUGUUAGGUACUUUCCAUACAACGAAUCUAUUAUUCCCAUCUUACAGAUAAAACAACUGAGGCUCAGGGAGAUUCUGUGACUUACCUAAGGCCACACAGUUAGCAACAAGCCAAUAUUCAAAUCCAGAUGAUUUUUACUCCCAAGGACAAUAAAUCCAACUCAAUAACUUCAACAAAAAGUUUUACUUUUUAAAAUAUAUUUUCCCUCACCCCACUAAAUCAGUCUGGACCCACAUCCUAU